rnacentral:rRNA from 1 species
UACAGAGGGUGCGAGCGUUAAUCGGAAUUACUGGGCGUAAAGCGUGCGUAGACGGUUAUUUAAGUCGGAUGUGAAAGCCCCGGGCUCAACCUGGGAAUUGCAUUCGAGACUGAAUAGCUAGGGUGCGGUAGAGGGAAGCGGAAUUUCCGGUGUAGCGGUGAAAUGCGUAGAUAUCAGGAGGAACACCAACGGCGAAGGCAGCUCGCUGGGACGGUACUGACGCUGAGGCGCGAAAGCGUGGGGAGCGAACAGG